rnacentral:rRNA from 1 species
AUCGAUGAAGAACGCAGCGAAAUGCGAUAAGUAAUGUGAAUUGCAGAAUUCAGUGAAUCAUCGAAUCUUUGAACGCACAUUGCGCCCGCCAGUAUUCUGGCGGGCAUGCCUGUUCGAGCGUCAUUUCAACCAUCAAGCCCCCGGCUUGUGUUGGGGACCUGCGGCUGCCGCAGGCCCUGAAAACCAGUGGCGGGCUCGCUAGUCACUCCGAGCGUAGUAGUUACAUCUCGCUCAGGGCGUGCUGCGGGUUCCGGCCGUUAAAAGCCUUAUUUACCCAAGGUUGACCUCGGAUCAGGUAGGAAGACCCGCUGAACUUAAGCAUAUCAAUAAGCGGAGGAAAAGAAACCAACAGGGAUUGCCCUAGUAACGGCGAGUGAAGCGGCAACAGCUCAAAUUUGAAAUCUGGCUUCGGCCCGAGUUGUAAUUUGCAGAGGAAGCUUUAGGCGCGGCACCAACUGAGUCCCCUGGAACGGGGCGCCACAGAGGGUGAGAGCCCCGUAUAGUUGGACGCCUAGCCUGUGUAAAGCUCCUUCGACGAGUCGAGUAGUUUGGGAAUGCUGCUCAAAAUGGGAGGUAAAUUUCUUCUAAAGCUAAAUACCGGCCAGAGACCGAUAGCGCACAAGUAGAGUGAUCGAAAGAUGAAAAGCACUUUGAAAAGAGGGUUAAAUAGCACGUGAAAUUGUUGAAAGGGAAGCGCUUGUGACCAGACUUGCGCCCGGCUGAUCAUCCGGUGUUCUCACCGGUGCACUCUGCCGGGCUCAGGCCAGCAUCGGUUCUCGCGGGGGGAUAAAGGUCCUGGGAACGUAGCUCCUCCGGGAGUGUUAUAGCCCAGGGCGUCAUGCCCUCGCGGGGACCGAGGUUCGCGCAUCUGCAAGGAUGCUGGCGUAAUGGUCAUCAGCGACCCGUCUUGAAACACGG